CUUUGAUGUGCUUGUCAGACUCGGCUUUGUUCAAUUGGAAAGCUGGUGGUAAAUUUUGAAGUUAUUUCUCACUUGUUUCGAUAAAACAGACUCAAAAGGGAUUCAAACAAGACAAGCGGAACAAAAUAAGGGGAAAAUGAGAAAAGAUGGUAUCAAACAAGCAAAAAUUAUUACCUAGGAAAAAGAACAAAGAAGUAACUAAGCUGUUUGAAGGCCAUCUCCACUGACCCAUGACAUGCAUUUUGGAUUAGACGACCUGAUCUCUCAAGCAAGUCUAAUAUUUAACUCUUGUUGUACCUCUUCGCUGUGAAACUGGGCUUCAGCGCUUCAAUUUUCCCAUCUGAUCCACAAUUCUCAAUCGACUUGUAGUGCCAUGAAGGGCGUUUACCAUCAAGCCUCUCUCAUUUUGUUCUUAUCUCAACUCACCAUCGCGUUACGAUGCCUAGAGGGUUUUCACCGAUAAGACUCUCUCAUUUUAUCAUUUUCUCUCUUUGCAAUGAGAAUAAGGUAUUACCCAUGAUGUAGAAAGAUCAUACUUUUACCACACACUUGAUUUAGCAUCCUCAAAGAUUGGUCAGAAGGUCUUUCUUUGGACCAUAGUGUAGGAUUUUGGACAGGGUUGGAAAGAAAGGGUGACAUAAAGGCUCAAAAUAAUUUAAGAUGAAAGGGUUCAAAAUAACAACUUUUGGAAUCAGGCCUUUCGGCAAAAUUAAAAAUUCUUCCCCAGUUUCUCGGAGUUUGGGGGGAUUAUUUUCUCUCUUUUUAUGGGGUUUCUAAGAAAAUCUGCCCCAGUAUUGAUUUUGGGGAAUUAUGAAAUAUUUUAUAUCGUGUGACCGAACCGUGAGGCUGCCUACGUAUCUUGUGGUGACAAGAAUCAGGUCGAACGUAGUUCAAACGGCAAAGUUGCUUGUUUUUUUUCUUUUCUAUCUUUUUGUUCUUUCUUUUUCUUCUUUUCUCUUUUCUUUUUUUCCUUUUUUCUUUUCUCCUUCUUUUUUUCCCUUUUUCUUCUUUUCUCUUUUCUUUUUUUCCUUUUUUCUUUUCUCCUUUUUUUUUCCCUUUUUCUUCUUUUUCUCUUUUUCCUUUUCUUUUCUUGUUCGUAAUUCCAUUUCUGAUUCCAAAAGAGGGGUAUGAAAUAAAAAAAAAUUAGGGCUCAAAAUGGGUAGCAAAGGAUAAAAGUGUUUGGGUAGCAAAAUAAAAUGCCUUUCGCCAUACCAAACUUAAAAGGUGACAAAAAUGGUGUUCAGAAGGAAAUAAACUCAAAGUCGCCACCUGACAUUGAAUUUCGGUGUGCCAGGCCACCGAUUCUUAAAAAAUAUUUUCCUUUUAAAAUACUUGGACUCAAAACUAAGUCCGCACCAGAGAUUCGGAUAAGGGGGUUCAUUUGACUCGGGGAGAAAGUGUUAGGCACUAGCCAUGUCCCCUGAAGGUCACCGUUGUGUACUCGAUCGAGCUGGCUUUUAAAAUAUUCAAAUUGAGGCAAAAACACGCAAAAAGAGACUAAACAAUCGAAGAGGCUCGAGGUCGUCCCCACCUAAUAAAGGAAAAACAAAAGAAAAAAUAAAGUACUAUUCUAUGCUUCCUCAAGUUACUUCGUCUUUGGCCUUCAUUUACAUUCACUUCGAGGCAUACCCCGGAUAAUUAUAUAUACAAACUUUACGGGGUAUUUCCCGGACAAAUUUAACUACGGAAACGACCUCUCCCAUAAAAUUGACAAAAAUCCUAAAGUUUGCCUACCCAGGUGUGGUUGGCAUAAACAUGCCAUUAGCGAACCCAAGUAAAUCAAGAUAAAACAAUAAGAUUAUUGCCCGAACCCCAUAGUUCAUCUCAAGCCCAACUCCGAUUAUCAACAUCAUCCCUUAUAGCACACACACUAGUGAAUUUAACCCAAUCACUCAAACUUAUGGAAUACAAUAAAGCUACAAAAGUAGCAGAAAUACUAUUAAGCCCAAACCUCUUUCUUGUUUCCAAAUAUGGUCCAUUUUAAUUCAAUUUUUAUAACUAAACCCCAACAACUAUAAAUUAAAUUAACUCUUAUUGCCCGAACCUCUUUCUUGUUUCCAAAUAUUGUCCAUUUUAAUUCAAUUUUUAUUACUAAACCCCAACAACUAUAAAUAAAAUUAACUCUUAUAUUCUUAGCUAAAGAAGUAAUGAUUCAAAGUAUGAUAUCAAUUCUGUUAAGAACACAUUAACGUACAAAUUAUAGUAUAAGCCAUAAUACCAUUUUGUAAAUCAAUCAAUCAGCAACACAGUUUGAGAAUAAAAAUGCAAGAAGGAAGGAAGAGAGUUAGACCUCAAAUUAGCAAAUUGUCGCCUUUGAUAAUUGGACCGAAAGCCGAACGACGUGUACGCUUAAACAAAUUUGAAAAUGAGUAAGGAACGGCUAUCGCACCCUCGAAACAAGAGCAGAACCAAUAAAUCGCACAACACCGGAGGACUCAAACUUAAACACGGCCACUAAAUACUCAAUCGAACUCCAUGUCUCAAGUCAAAAUCCGAAAACCGAAAUGAAGAAAUAGAGAUAUCUUCUUUUUUUUUGCUUUUUAUAUUGUUCUGUUUUGGAACUAAACUGAAACACAAAAAAAACAAUGGAGAAGCUGGAUGUUGGAAUGGAGUUGCAGCUGUUGUUGUUUCAUCGGAGAUGGACGACGUUUGGAGUGAAGUUCAGGUGGUCUGAUAGCUGGUCGAUGAAAUAGCAGCUGGCGGAGUUAUGGAUGGUCUUGCGGUGGCUGCUUUUGUGUCUUAGGGUUCAGGGAUGUUGUGAGGAAAGUAAGGCGCUGGUCGUUUGGUAUUGUUGGCGGCGAUUUGAUGAUGUUGGUCGGAGAUGGUCUUUUGGAGAGGUGUUGGAGAGAGGUCGUUUAUGGUGGUAUGAAGAAGAAAAAGAAGAAGAAGAGAUGAGAGGGAGCAGCGUCGGCUGGUUUCCGCCGUGAAGGGCUAUUUCGUGGCGGCUUCUGGUGUUAGGGUUUUGGUACUGAAGAAAGAGAUGAAGUAGCUCGCGUUUCGCUUAUUUCCUCCAUUGUUGUUUUGGUGUUAGGGUUUAGGUCUUGUAUUGUGUAAUGUGAAGAAGAUGAAGUGUAGGGUUUUUCUUUGAAGAAGAAUGGGUAUGGGCCAAGUCUUGUAGGGCUUGAAAUUGGGCCUCUUGCAAGAAUAUAAU
rnacentral:lncRNA from 1 species